rnacentral:rRNA from 1 species
UACGGAGGGGGCUAGCGUUGUUCGGAAUUACUGGGCGUAAAGCGCACGUAGGCGGCUUUGUAAGUUAGAGGUGAAAGCCCAGGGCUCAACCCUGGAAUUGCCUUUAAGACUGCAUCGCUAGAAUUGUGGAGAGGUAAGUGGAAUUCCGAGUGUAGAGGUGAAAUUCGUAGAUAUUCGGAAGAACACCAGUGGCGAAGGCGACUUACUGGACACAUAUUGACGCUGAGGUGCGAAAGCGUGGGGAGCAAACAGG